UGCGCAGGAAGGAGCGGGGGGGGGGGGGGGGGGGGCGAGCGUGCGUGCGCACUGUUGUUCUUUAGGGCGCGGCGCAAUAUGUGUGAUUGUGUGUGUGCGUGUGUGUGUGUGUGAGUGCGUAACGCUGCGUAUCGGGCGUAGCGUCUCUGUAGCGUCGACACAUUUAGGCCUGUUCCUAUUGCGGCACAUGGCGUGAGAAGCCUCGGUCGUUCGAAGGUUCCAACUAUACCCACCUUCUUCAGGCCCCGCACAACAAGCAAGUUAUCGAAUCCUCAAAGCGAUUUUUACAUGCGCAGCGGUUUUGUUUCAUUUCGUACUUAACCACACGGAUCGAAGAACCCACUAUUACCCGCACUGACGAGCAGCCUGUGGGCAUUCGCACGAGGCUGCUGCCUCAGUUCACCGUAAGGCAAGCUGCUACUUCUCGCGGAAUGCGUCGUCAUGGGCUGAACAAAUAACCAGAAAACAGCGCCAUAACAUCGGCGUCACUUUAGUAGUUUCUUUUGUUCGACUUGUUUUGUUCGUGCUGGCUAAUAGCAGUCGCGCAAGUAUGGCUGCUAAGCGUUGAACAGUCGAGGAGAGUGGAUUGUAGCUCUUAAUUAAACUGCUCACUUUAGAUAUAGCCGCAAGGCUUUAGAAGGCCUGCCCCAAAGAAACAUCAGUACGUGUCCUCAGGUGCUAAGUUAAGUAAGCGGCGUGUGCUUGCGUGUGAGCGAUCCUUGCUUUGCAAGGAAUCUCGUUUCGCUCGUCCAGUCGUGAGAAUCUAAACCCUGCGAUGCGACGGCCUAGCCAGUUCGCACCAGCCUUAUUAUUAGGAUACCUUUCUCUUUCCUAUUUUUUUUUCCGCCUCCUUAACUUGGGCUUGAGAAAGCGCGACGUACCGAUCCUAAGCGCGGAUUUCUCAGCCCCUGAGGAACGCCCCGACCAACCGGACGAAUCACCUAUAUCAAUAUUAACCUAUAUACUUAUUUCCGUAUUUCUUUUCUUCACGAGAACGCGAGGUGGUGGUUACGCUGCCGAGUUACUUUCUGUCCGAGUUUGCCCCCAGACACUUGAAGGAAGGCGACUGAUUAGCGAACAGGGCGAAUUAUUAAAGUACAAGAAAGUGGUCAGCGUACACGAAGAAGAAGAAACCAUGAUCCGUUCCAUUUCUUGUUUCGAACAUGUCGCGAAGCUAGUGCUAAAUAGGCGGCUGGAUUUCUGGAUUAUAUGUGGCUCAGUGUGGUUCGCACACGUUUAGUGACAGAACAUGUAGCCUUCCGAUGGUUUCUGAUACAAUAGUAUAAAAACUACAAGGUUGUACACACUUCAGUCUUCUCUCGUUGCAUUCGUUGCUCCUUGCCGGUGACGAAGCCAGUCGAUCAUGGUCGCGAGUGGUCGAACGGCCAGUCUCUGCGAAGAAUUGGUUGGCACGCACCUGUCUUGGGUGCCCACUAGGGCAGGUGGUUAAUUGCCCUGGUUCCCGAGUGGAAACUGUUGGUUUUGUCGUCCCCACCUUCCUUCCAUUCGAACGGCUGGCACUGUACUUUACCUCCUAGUGACGCUAGUACUAGUUACGUACCUAGUACAUUAGUAGAUACUUUAUACAGGGCGUUUCCAAUGGCUGCGUUAAAGUGAAAUAGUGGUUUCCGAUCGGGGCUAGGUUGGUCUCCGCUGCUGAGUCGUUAGAACCAGCAGCCUCAAAAAGGAGAUCAGCGGUACGCUAAGCUGUUCAAAUCGACACUUCAGAUUACUCAAAUUAGUCAGCCGUGCUGUAAAGAGGCAAUACCCUCAGCUUCUAGCCGAGUCGCAUAGUUUAUCAUUCAAAUAUAAGACGCGAUUAUUCACAGCAGUGCUGAAGAAAGCGCCCUGCUAUUGUACUUUUGUUGGAGUGAGCAUUAAUAAGUAAAAAAAAAAAGUUAACUGGGAGGUCUCAUUAUGCAGUCUGCUUCCGCUUUAGUAAAUGCAAUCCAGCGCAUAUUUAAUCGAGCGGAAUUUCGUCCUACCCAAAGAAACGCCCCGUAUACAGAGCGUAGAGAACUGAGCAGUUUGAGAUGCAUUAUAUACUUAACUAAAGAGAGAAUACGAGGGGCAACUCUCAGCGAAACGAGAACAGCGAAGACGUCGUCAAACACAUUUUGCACGGUGGACACUAACACUCUCACACACGAGCCUUGCGUAUUUAUUUAUUUUUUCCCCCCUCAGGUGCUGCGCGAGUAUGCGCACAUUAUUGUCCCCCGUCAUUCGCCGCACCCCUUUGAGGUCGAAGCUUGUACAUUGCGCGAUCCCUCUAGAGUACGACACUGCGUUUUGAAAUUGUGCGUGAGUGUACCGAGUACGGCCGUUCACAUGCAUUUCCUCGUUGCAGCAACGUAGGCGCGCCGUAAUUCAGCGCAGGUGGUGAAGUGUGAUAGAACGAGCGAAUGAAAAUGGCGCGGUCAGUAUAGACUGUAUAGACUCGUGACCACUCGACCGUUUAUUGUAUCUUUCUUUAUUUUUUCUUCUUCUAUAGGAAUACGUUAAUAAUCUAUUAUGCAAACAUACGAGUGCUAACGUUGUUCACGUGCGUGUGUGGCGAGAAUCGACCGGUGAUGUUACGUUGCAAAUAAAACGGGGCCUGCUUGGCCUGAAAGUCUUUCGAGUAGUUUUGAAUGGCCCGCGCGCCUAUCACCCCUACAUAUAGCUACGCUGUACUGUGCGACGGGAGUUGUUUUGCGAGCUGUAGAUUGUCGGCGUUACUUUAGCAGAAUUACACUUUCGUUUGCGUUCGGUAUUCGUACCUCUCAAUGUAGUUGCAGUUUUUCUUUAGUCGCUGCCUACAUUAUUCUUUCGGUAUGAGAGCGAUAUACAUAAAAGCUAGCCUAUCCGUGGACGGCUUCUAGGAUAUUCAGACAAUGGUUACGUUCAGUUCCCUUAAUGCCAUUGAAACGUUCGUGUAUUGCCAGUCAAGCAAUUUCACUUGCCUUUCGUACUAUCUCUUCGGAACUCUCGAGGUUUCCUUACCAAUUCCGUAAACGACAGCGCGGAAAACGUAUAGAAAUAAUAAACUCAAUAUUUAGUCCUUCAGUAGCGAAAUUCCUUGUGUACAUACGUACCGACUCUGUGUGCAACCGUCAGAAUCCCUUGAAUUAAUUUUUUAAUUGACCGACACAAAAUUCUUGUCUUGCUAUACGCUUAACUCAAUGUAACUGAACAACACAUUGAAUCGCUCCUAACUGCGAGUCUUGAGGUGGGCCACCCGGUGGAAGCGAAAUUUCGCGCGCUAUUUAUUACUGUAAUUUCCGCAAGACUGUGAGACCAGCUUUACUUAACGAGUGACCUCUGUUUUGUGGAACUAAAUUCAUUAACAAAACACGAGGGUGAAUAUUUCAAAAGAACGCGGUCGGCUCCCGCGGUAGUUUUACAAUUGUGGGAAUUAGAUGUUCGGAUAUAAUGAGCUGGAAUAUCUUUGUUUAAGUGUGUGGUACUGGUCGUUGGUGCUACUUAUACCUGUCGCAUAGGCGCAGAUCUUAGGCGUAAAACGUUUAAUCGUUUCGUGGUGUACUCAACCAGUCACGUUAGCCAUAUUCGUCUCUCUGAAUGGUUGGCUUGGUUCAGUUUGGUUUCCCCUUUACCGAUGACACAUAACUCACUAUGGGGUUUAGGCAAGAGAAAAUUAAACAAGCCCUUGAAAGGCUGCCUUGUUGUGCCCAUCGCGCUAGCUAGAGUACCACGCGAGUAACUUCAUAACAGGAAAAAGAAGAGGGAGAAGAAGAAAAAGUUACCAGAUUUUGUUAUGUUAGUCGAGAAUGAAAAAAAAUCGAAAUAUGCAAUUCCUGAAAAUCUGCCUGAAAAUUACUGCUAGAAAAGCAGGAAACCGCGGCUACGCUACCUGCUGGCCUUCGGUCGAAGCGGGGUACAGCCAAGUAGGAUUUUAAAUCCUCCUUGGGUACAGCAUGACACACGAGACUGAAGCGCUUUCAUUUCGCCGAGCGAAGAAGGAACGCAGCUUCGGAGCAUGCGCAUAUAUGCUUAGGACGCCGCCUUGUGUUGAGCACGUGGAACCUCAGGAGUGUUUUUUUUUCUUUUUUUUUUUUAACGUUGUAUCCACAUUCAGUUCACCGAGCGUCCACUUCCACGAGAUGAGGCGUCGGUCUUCAGCUGUUACGAGUCGUUUGCCGUAAAAUCCCGUAUAUUAUAAAACACCAUUUUGUUACCGGAAUUGAUGCCAUCAAAUCUGCUUCUCGUAUUGUAUUCACGUAGCAAAUUUUUUUAAAGGUUUAAGUGCCUUUUUCUUGUACAUGGCUGAAAAUCGCUCUCUUCUUUUCUUUCCUUAUCUUUCUUUAUCGUAAUAAAUAUAGCGAUUUUUUUUUCUAUCUCGUGACCCCAGAAUCGCUCCUUGCAUUAUAUUCAGUUGGUGCGCUGCAUGCAUGCUUGAUUUUACGGCAUUUUGAUCCACGGUACAACUAAGCCUAUUUCGUGCGUGGGGAAGCCAUAUUAGAAGGAAGCGUCUUGGGGACGGGGAUUUCGCCGACGACUUAAUUAAUGCGCGAAAACAGAAGUGCUUCUUUGUACAGACGUUUCGGAUUCAGCUCCUCUUUCGUUGGCACCGCUCUUUCGCGAUGCUGUCUUUCCUUUUCUUCUUUCUUUCUUUUUUUUUCUGCGAUCGGGACACCACGUGUGAAUGCCUUUCACGUAGCGCGCGCGACAGCGGCGUCGCGGCUGUGCGGUGUGUGCCUGUGUUGUGAGUGUGGCGGCCAUUUUGUUCUUUAUUACCCCCUCUCCCCAUUUCCCUUUCCUAUAUCUCUCUAUCUGCGGCAAGUGCGUGCGUGCGUGUGUGUGCGUGCGCGUGUGUGUGUGCGUGUGUGUGUGUAUGAGCAACUACUGCGAGCGUGUGCGUGUGUAUAUCACCCGAGCGAAGGGGCCUGUAUAUAGCGGUCUAUACAUAAAACAACACUACUUAUUUGUAUAGCUAGGGUGUUUUCUUAUCUAUAUCGAGUUUGGAUCUUGUGCACCUGACGAAGACGACGAAAACGGUGACGGCGAACGCGACGCGGGAGAGAGCAAAAAAAAAAAAAAAAGAAAGUCACCCGCUGAGCCACACACACACACCAUUCCUUUUGGCUCUAGGUUUAUAUGCUUUGUAGACUCUUUCCUAUAGUCUCGCCAGGCGUCACGUUAUAGGCAGUCAUGUGCAAUGCACAAUGUGAAUAUAUAUACUUGAUAAUUGAUGUUCCAACACUACGACAGAUAAUGCAGAUAAUGCGGGAACGCGAUGUGUACCGCGCUGUGGAGAGAGAAAAAAGAAAAAAAAAGGAAUACCAGUGGUGUCACGUGCAGAGGCAGUCAGUCUUUGUGGUUUAAUCACUCUCUUCAACGACGGUCGGUGGUUGCAUUUUCACGCCAGGGUCGAGCACACCUUGGGCGCGGAGGGUUUUAAAACGAGAAAGUACGAAGUAGAGUUCUUCACGCCGUAGGUAUAUACAUUACUGCAGUUUAAGCGCGGCCAGUGGCAAGUAGCUAUGUUUCCAAGCGAGGCCUCUUUAGUGCCGGUCCAUCGCGAACGUGGACACACCCUUAAUGGAAAUCCCGGCAUACAAAGCUAUGUUUCGGUGCAAAUUGUAUAGUAUGUGUUCUUCUGAUUUCCAUUUUCCUUUUCAUGCUCGAGUGUCCAUACGAAGGUUCUACUUGUAGUGUGCGUAAGAGAGAUUUGGUUGCUAUCUUCUCGAAUAAAAAGGGGAAAAAAAAGAAAGAUUAAAGCUCUGCGCUGUAA